AAUUUUAUAGACCUAUUUAACCAUUAAAACACAUUUUAAUAUUAAUUAAAAUAUUAUAACGGUAAUUUUAGUCAAAAAUCCUCUGUUUCUCAAUUUUAUGCUAUUUAGAUGGUAAUUCUCUAAUAUUUUAGCACUAGACCAAAACGUAAAGAUAGGGAGUUGCUAAUAUCAACAAAAAUUAAUUUACAAUUUUAUAACAUUUUUCCAUAAAAAAAAUAUUUAUUAUGUUAAAAUUUUAUAUUCAAUUUAAAAUUUAUUCUACUGAAAAGGAUAUAAUAAAUUUUUUAAAAGAAAAAUAAUGUUCCUUUAGUAUCAGGAUUUAUUUAAUAUAAUAUAUAAAUAAUAAAAAUCCCGAAAUUAUGUGAUCUAUAUAAAAUAAUAUUAAUUAUUUCAAUAAUUUAAUAAAAAUUUAUAUAGAAAUUAAACGCUUUCGUACAUAAUUAUAUCUGGUUAUAAUAAAAAAAAAGAAUUUUAAAUAAAAUAUUAUAAUAUAAUUUAUAAUAUUUAUUCAAAAAAAAAAAAAAAAAAAAAAAAAAAAGAAUUACAGUAUCUAAAAAGUAUUAAAACCUCUUUUCCUUUUAUUGUUAUAUUAAUAUAUUAUUCUAUUUAUUUUAAUAAUAAUAAAAUAAGUAAAAAUUCCAAUUAAUUUUUAAAAACUCGUCUAUAUUUAAUGACUGUAUAUCAAAAACAUUGUUAUUAGAAAUUAUUAAUAAUACAUCUGCUCAAUGAAAAAUUAAAUAGCCGCAUUAGUGCUAAGGUAGCAUAAUCAUUUGUCUUUUAAUUUAAGACUAGAACAAAAGAAUUUACAUUUAAAUAAAUUUCUUAAAAUUAUUAAUUAAAAUUAUUUUUAAUGUAAAAAAACAUUAAUUAAUAAAAUAGACGAUAAGACCCUAUCGAACUUUACUUUAGUUUAACUGGGGUAGUUAAUUAAUUAUUAUUUUAAAUAAAACUAUAUUUUAAAUGACCUAAUUUAAUUAAAUUAAUGAUCAAGUUACCGUAGGGAUAACAGUGUAAUAUUAUUUUAAAGAUCUUAUUUAAAAUAAAGAUUGCAACCUCGAUGUUGACUUAAUAUCCUUUUUUACGCAAUAGUAAAAUUAGGAAGUCUGUUCGACUUUUUAAAAAUUACAUGAUUUGAGUUCAGACCGGGGUAAACCCGGUCGGUUUUUUUUUUUUUUUUUUUUAUUAUAGUACGAAAGGACCUAAAAAAAUUAAUUAAUUAAUUU
rnacentral:rRNA from 1 species